rnacentral:lncRNA from 1 species
CCACAAGAACCUGCUCUGUAUGCACCCCAUCAACAGGCUUUUCUGUUCUCUGGAUUCUGUGUGGUUUUGACCACUGGGGAGCCCCAGCAGUGUUGGAGAAGGGAGAGUGAGGCACAGCUGCUACUCAACUGAUGUUACCCUGUUAUGAUUUGGUAGCUGAUGGAACUUCAUGUGUCCCCUGUGAUGGAGACACAAACUUUUCCUGCAACGAAAAGUAGAUGCUGAGGGGCCAGGAGUGAUGGUACCAGACGUCUUGUUUACCCCUCUGGAUCCCAGGAUGCUGUUCAGUGUGGAAUACAUCCGUCGGCUCCUUUGCCUCCUAGUCUGCAGUUGAGUUCCUGUAGAGUCCCAGCAGGAGGUCUGAGGGAGUGAUGAGAAUGAGGUGAGGCCAAUUACUCCCCCGCUCCCACCUGGAAGUUCCCUCUGGCAGGCUGCGUCCCACAUUCAAGUUAUACAGUUCCUAUAACAGAGGGUCUCUCCACAAGACGCUCUCUUCUCAGGUUCUUUUUGAGAGGUGAAGCCAGCUGGGCUUCUGGGUCUGGUGGGGACUUGGAGAACUUUUCUGUCUAGCUAAAGGAUUAUAAAUGCACCAAUCAGCACUCUGUGUCUAGCUAAAGGAUUGUAAAUGCACCAAUCAGCACUCUGUAAAACAGACCAAUCAGCACUCUGUAAAAUGGACCAACUAGCAGGAUGUGGGUGGGACCAAAUAAGGGAAUAAAAGCAGGCCACCCGAACCAGCAGCGGCAACCCACUGGGGUCCCCUUCCACGCUGUGGAAGCUUUGCUCUUUCACUCUUUGCAAUAAAUCUUGCUGCUGCUCACUCUUUGGGUCCACACUACCUUUAUGAGCUGUAACACUCACCACGAAGGUCUGCAGCUUUACUCCUGAAGCCAGCAAGACCACGAACCCACUGGGAGGAAUGAACAACUGCAGACGCUCCACCUUUAAGAGCUGUAACACUCACUGCAAAGGUAUGCAGCUUCACUCUUAAAGCCAGCGAACCCACCGGGAGGAACGAACAACUCCCGACACGCUGCCUUUAAGAGCCUUAACAUUCAUUGCAAGGGUCUGCCGCUUCACUCCUGAAGUCAGCAAGACCACGAACCCACUGGAAGGAAGAAACUCCGGACACAUCCGAAUAUCAGAAGGAACAAACUCCUGACACACCAUCUUUAAGAACUGUAACACUCACCGCGAGGGUCUGCGGCUUCAUUCUUGAAGUCAGCGAGACCAAGAACCCACCAAUUCCUGACACAUUUUGACAACUCACUUUCCACUUCAUGCCUAAGGAUGGGUAACAGCCUCACUAUAUUCCUUUUCCUUUUGCUCACCUGCACACACUGUAUAAGUGGCCCCUUUACGAAACCCUCUUUGAUUUAUCCUAUUUUUAAUAUUCCAUCUUUUCACUACUGAGCCUUGCUUGAAGUAAUAACUGUAGAAUUCAUGUGAAGGGUGUACUGGAGAAUAUGAGAAUUUACAAGAAGGAGGACUGGUUUGGGGUCCUUUCUCUUUCAGCAAGUAUUAACCGAGUACCUGCCCUGUGUCUUGUGCCAAGUAGCAUUCUACAGCAGUGAAGAAGAGAGGCAGAGUCCUUGCCCUCAAGGAGUUAUGGGAGGACAAAUAAUAAACAAGUGAACAAAUAAAUGAGGUAACUUUAGGUCAUAACCUGAGCUUUUAAGGAGACACACAGCAUGAUGAGAUGGACAGUAAAUGAGUUGAAUCUGUUUCAGAUAGUUUGGUCCAAAAAGGCCCCACUGAGCAGAUGACAGAAAAGACAUUGAGAAGGUGGAAUCCACAGUAUUGAUUAUUGAUUAAAUGUAGAAAAUAAAGGAGAAAAGAAGAUAGAAGUUUAUCCCAAGAUUUCUGUCUGUGUAACUGCAAGAAAAUGGCACCACCUAUAUUUAAAACAGAUAUGGAAUAGGUUUAUGUUUUCUGGCAGGGGUUGCAAAUAAAAUAUCCCCUCUUUUUGUAAAUAAAAUGUUAUUGAAAUGCAGCCACACUCAUUUGUUUACAUAUUGUCUGUGGUUACUUUCACUCUGCAACGGCAGAGUUGUGUAGUUUCAACAUUAUAUGGCCAGAUAAGUUGAAAAUACUAUCUGGGCCUUUAUAGAAAAGUUUACUGAGUUCUUCUCUAUGGCAUGUUGACAUAGCAUCAUAAUUUAUAGGAAACCGAGGAGGAGUCAAUUUCUCUAGGAAUUUUCUAGCAGAUUGAGUAAUGGUCUGUUUAACUAACGUUUUGUGCCCUUGAGUGGGAGGAAAAUUCACACUCAAGCUUAAUCAGUGAAUGGGGAAUGGGAUAAUUUCACUUUCUCAUUUCUCAAAUAAACUUGCCCUGAACUCUAUUAGAGAUAACCACACUUAAUAAUAUUGUAUAUUUCAAAAUUGUUGAAAGAAUCGACUUUUAAUGUUCUCACCACACACACAAAAAAAUGGUGUUGGUGAGGUGAUGUAUACGUUGAUUAGCUGGAUCAAAUCUUUCUAUGAUGCAUACAUAGAUCAAAACAUUCAGUUGUACCCCACAAAUAUACACAAUUAUUAUUUUUCAACUAAAAAUAAAUUUUUAAAAAUUUAAAUAUAUAUUCCAAAAAAAAAACAAGAAAGAAAGAAAUUCACCUGUGCGUGAUAAACAGGCAGAAAAGAAAGCUCCACCCACUGGCGCUGGGCCCAACUCCUCCUUGUGAAUUCUGCAUGACCAAGGAGCUUGCAGUUCUCAGUUUGCUGCAUAUUUCUCAGGUCCCCACCCCCUUGAACUGUUGAUUCUAGCUGCUAAAAACACCUCAUCCACCCAACAACAUCUACAUCAGAGAAGAUGACUGAAAUCAGAGAAUCCUCCCCCACCACCCACUUUGCUGCCUCUGAAGAAGCCUCUACCACUGUCUGCACGUUAAGACUUGCUUGAGGCCUUCCACUCCCAGAGAAGGAGCCAAAAUUAUCCUAACAUGGCUCUCAGUUGUAGGCAAAUCUGUUGAUCCACUAUGUCAUCUACAAAGUAAUUUCUUGCAAAGUUGAAUUAACGUUAGUCCCAAGGACAGCUGAUGUUUGAAAUGAUGUAUUUUAUUUCAAAAUAAGACUGUGUCCACAGAUUAUCCCUGCUCCUAUUUUAAGAUUGGAAUCUAAUAAACAGCACAGGCUGCUCUACCAUCAUUUGCUGCCUUACCAUUUGUUUGUAUCUAUUUUUCUGUUACUAUUUUUGGCUAUGCUUUUAGCCACAGGAUUGAGUCUGAAAGCAGGCAGAUAUGGACUCAAGAAAGAUAAAUCAUGGCUUAAAUUUGUUCUCAAAGGAUGAAGACCAAAACAAUGUUCUCCUAUUUAAAGAGCACUCAGAUCUGGCUAGUUAAUUGCCAAUUUUGAGCAACCUAAAAAACAUGACAAAUUUAUAGGUGUCUAGUCAUUAACGUUCAUAGUAUAAAUAAACCCUCAUUUGGAUCAUCUUAAAUUCAUAAAUUUCAGAGCAAAAUAGAUGUAGAGUUCCGUGGUCAGGAAAAAGAAUGCUGGACUUGGAUAUUAAAUGAUCUGGGCAUGAAUUUAAGCUUUGCCCUUUCCUCUGUUCAACUCCAGCCAAGUCACUUAAUCUCUAUAGCAUGAAGUUUCCUAUUUGGAAAAGGAAGGGAUUGGAUUGGUUCAACAAGGUAUCUUCAAGUACUAAACAUCUAUGAGUCAACAUCUGUUCUAGUUUAAUUCCUCAUUUUAUAAAUGCAGAAACUGACACACAAAGGUGAAAUCUAAGGCAGCUAGUUAAUGAUUUAGCUGAGUUUGGGAUCAGUCUUCUAAUAUUUUGUUUUAAAUUAACUGUGAGUGUGUGUGUUUUCUGAAGAGCUCAACAUCAUAGAAAUCCAGUACCCUUGGCCCUGGACCUGUCUCCAUGUGCAUUUCUGCAUCCUUUCGUAAUUAGAAUUUCUGUUCUUGGGACAGAAGGAAAUAGAGAUCAUACAGCGGCACCCUACUCUAUUUACAGGCAAGAACUGGCAAGACAUACCAACUGGAACAUCAGAGCUGGGGGCACAUCUCAGUUUCUAGAACAUCUAAGAACCUGAACAAUGGUGUGGCUUGUAUUGACUUUCAGAUCAAGUGAUGUUUUCCCAAUUUUCUUAGUAAUGAAUGAUUUACAAAGAAAGCUAGUGAUUAAACAUUAUUUGUGUGUUUUCUGUAAUUAAAAAUCAUUUUCUUGGAGUCACUCAGAGCUUAGUAUAAUGAUUUUAUUGUGGCAUUAUUUUAAUUUUACUGUGGAAAUAAGGAUUAUACCAAUUUCCUUAGACUCAAAAGCUGUGGAAUGGAAAAUUCUGCUUGUGGAAGCACAUGUCUGUUGGAUAAUUCUAAAAUAAAAUUUUACUUUUAAAUAGCACUGGUCUCUGUCACAGGAGGCAUUUCGUCAAGAACACAACCACUUACUAAAUUUUAUUCUUCUGAAAUGUAAACGUACUUUUGCAAAUUUUAUUCAAUGGCAAUGACAAUCCUAUAACCAAACAAUAUGAAUCCAGUCUAUUUAUUCAGGAUACUUUGUUUAGUACUGUGCAUAAUUAAAAUGAAAAUGUCACUGCCCUGCAAAUAAAUGAAAUGUUCACUAGAUGAUGAAUUAAAUACAUUGUGACACAUUCAUAAAAUGGAAGACUA